UAUGGCCGGCCAAGCAAGGGAACAAAAAGAAAAAGAGAAGAACAAACCUAGAAAGGAAAAAUUCAAGAGAAAUUAUUGGAUUUCAAGGAAUCAAGCAAGUAAAGGUAAGAUUUUUUAAUUUUAGCCUGUGAUCUACCUUUCUCAUGCAUUCUUUUUCAUUCUCUAUGGCUGAAAUUCAAGUUUUCAAGAGGGAACCUUUGCUGGCCAAAUCUAGAGAGAGAAGUUUUGGUGAUGAAUUUUGCUAGAUUUUAUAAUAUCUUAGUGUUUUUAGUCAUUUUGUGAUGUUUGGAAGGAAAAACAAGUAAGAAAAUCACAUGUUCUUUAACCACCCUCAUUUGGCCAAAUUUUCUAUAGGGCAUGUUGAUGAUGGAUUUGGUUGUAAAUCAUGUUAUUUAGCUAGGAAUUGAUGAUUUAUGGCAUCGGAUAUCGAAAUAUGAAUGAAUUUCAAUUACGGUGAAUUAAGUCACAAUUAAGCUCAUUGAGGUACUUUGGUGUAUUUGGAAUAUUGAAAGUGUAAUGAAGAUAAUUGGAUGUUUUGGCUAAUUAAACAAGGCAUAGUGCGAGUUAGGUCGAAUGCCAAUUCAGUCUGAUCAUAAUUGAACCCAUGUAGAACACCGUCUUUAAGUGAUUAUUCGGACAAUUCUCAUUCAAUGUCAUGCAUUCAUAUAGAGCCUGAAAUAGUUUUAUAACAGUUUGGCACAAAAUAUAUUAAAUUACAUGUCAUGUAUUAUGUAUAGGUGGUGAGCCCUCGGAUAAGGGUAAAGAUAUUGUGCUUGAGGUCCAAGAAAAGGAGUACUCCAAACUCCUACUAUUGUGAGUAAUCAAAUGUUCAUCUUAAUUAUCUAAAGUGGUUUAUACUUGUUUUAAUAUUUUAAAGAAUAAGGCACUUAAUUUGCAAAUUAUUAUGUUUUGCAUUUUAAAUGUUGGUUAAAUAAAUGAGAUUUAUAAAUUAUUUUGAAACUAAAUGUUGAUUUUUGAAAUAGAGUAAGUGGAGGCUAUACAUUCGUUAUAUAUAUAUAUAUAUAUANNNNNNNNNNUAUAUAUAUGUUUUGACAUAUGGUUUGAAUUGAUGGCUUAUGACAAUGUGAUGGCAAGCAUGGCUGGAUUUGUGUUUGUGUGGAAUAUAUGAACUGUUUUGCUUUGCCUUGACAGGCUGGUAAUAUUAUAUUAGCCAUGUCAUGCUGUCGAAAAUUUUAUUGAAUUGGUGGGUUAUUUGAUUAGCUUACUGCAGUGGGCAGGUUUUCGUAGACCAGCCUAUUAGAGGGGCACGGUAAACCCGUUAUAUUUUACCUCGGUACAAGAGGUGCGGAGGGUAUCUCCUAUGGUAAAGUUAGAGUUCACUUCACGUCGAACCACCACGUGAAGGUGAAACUCAGCCAACGCCAAGGAACAACUAUGUUUGUAAAACGUAAAAACUUGUUUUAUGUGUAUAUAUCAUUUUAACAACCUUGACGGACUCAAUUGGAUGCCAGGGCCAAGGUGUCAUUGAGUACGAGUUUUGGCACGAGCUAAGUUUUAAGAAAGUCAUAAGCCUUGCUGAUUGUUUUGAUGAAAUGUAAUUGUUUUACUUGGAUUGAAAUGAGUUUUGAUUGUAAUGAACUAUAUUAUGAUAGGAUGAUUUAACUGUCUCCAUUUACUCGGCUUUAGAUGUUAUAGAUGAAUUUUGCUUACUCACUAGGUUUAUAAAAACUCACCCCUUUUUUUUACCCAUUUCAGGCUCAGGAUAGUCUGUAGACAAUCGAUUUUGUCGAGGGUUGCUUUUGGAUUUGCAUCCUUAGAAAUUGAAGGUCUACAGUCUUGUAUGUUUUCGGUUAUUUUGAGGGCCCACAUGUCAUUGUAGAAUAUUUUUGUAUACCUGGUUUAGUGUGCUAUUAUAUAUAUGAAUUUAUUUUGUUUUUAUGUUACAAAAAUUAUUUACGCAGAG
rnacentral:lncRNA from 1 species